ensembl:lncRNA
CAGUCGUGUUUGUAUAUACAGUAUCUGAAAUUUUAGACUCUUCUUUUGGAUUACUUCUCCACUUAAUGCUAUUUCUGCCCCUGUGGCCUUUGGGAUGUUCAAAAGCAAACUGAGGCUGCAGCUUCUGAGACUCAAAAGCCCUUUGAGCACUAAAAGCCCUCAAAAUUUCAACUAAACACAAGUUUAGGAAACUUUUACGUUUUCUUGUCUGAGAAAGAUAUUCUGGUAUAUACAACCUAGGCUUGAAUCCCUUGGUGGGAGCUGACAGUUGCGUCACCUGGGAGAGAGAUUUUACCACCUUCAGCCUCAGCAUAUUCAUCUAUAAAAUGGGAUUAUUAAGAUUACUUUGCAGAAUUGUUAUAAGGAUUAAAAAUAAUAAUAAUAUAAAAAUAAAAGCUCAAGACCUGGCAUUGAAAAAGUUCUCAUUACAGUAAAAUUAUUUUUAACACUGUAUAUUUGGGUGAAGAGGAAGACUAGCUGGUUCAAGUAAAAUCCUUUUUGUGUUUACAAGACACAUGAGAGAUUUUUCUUUAAAGACAAANNNNNNNNNNNNNNNNNNNNNNNNNNNNNNNNNNNNNNNNNNNNNNNNNNNNNNNNNNNNNNNNNNNNNNNNNNNNNNNNNNNNNNNNNNNNNNNNNNNAAAAAAAAAAAACAACCUGUAGUAUUAGAUAGGCUACUGUGUGCCCUUCAGAUCUGUUCCAUUUAAUAUUCUUAUUUAUUUAGUAUUAUUUUGAUCACUCCUUUUUAAAAGCAAAAUAAAAUGCAAGGAGCAUUUCACUAUUUCCUGUGCUAGAUGUUCCCAUCAUGGACCUUGAUUCCCAGAACAGAGCUUGAUUUUCAUCUAAGGGUCCCCCUCCCCCACUUUUAGCUCCUGUGAACUGGCUGAGGCUUCACCCCCAACUCCAGGACUGGAACAAUUGGCCCAGAGAUAGCCAAUCAAAAUAUCAUAUUCUCUAACCACAGUCAUUGAUUCAGAGCUUGUGACCUAUGUCAAUCCAAUGAAAGGGUCACAGAAGAACUUGAGGAGCCCAUGGGAAGACACUCUCUCUCUCCUGCAGCAGACAGAUGGAAGAGGGUGUGAAGCUGAGGCUGCUGCAGCCCUUUUGUCACCACAUGGCAGUUGGUCAGGAAGCCAGCGCAAAGGAAGGCAGGCUGAGCAAUGGAGAGAGCUCAAAGCCCAAAACAGCAAACAGACUGCAGCCCGAGCACCAGGUGUGCUGGGAGUGAGCUCACCAGGAGCAGGGUGGUGACAGUGGAAGGCUCUCCUGAGUGCCUCCCUGGCCUCAUUAGCACCUCACUCACUGCUGGGGCCCAGAGUACUAAGAUGGAAAAGCACCGCACAGAGGUACUUAUACCUGUGGGNNNNNNNNNNNNNNNNNNNUUUUUUUUUUUAAUUGAAAUAUAGUUGAUUUACAAAAUUGUGCUAGUUUCAGGUACUCCACAUAGUGAUCUAAUAUUUUUGCAGAUUAUACUCCAUUAUAGGUUAUUACAAGGUAAUGAGUAUAAUUCCUUGUUGCUUAUCUAUUUGAUAUAUGGUACUUUGAAUCUGUUAAUCCUAUAUCCCUAAUUUGUCCCUCCCCACCUCCUUCUCCCCUUUGGUAACCAUUGGUUUUCUGUAUCUGAGAGUCUGUUUUACGUAUGCGUUUGUUUGUAUUAUUUUGUUUAGAUUGCACAUGUAGUGAUAUCAUCCAGCAUUUGUCUUUCUCUGUCUGACAUUUCUCUAAGCACAGUAUUCUCUAGGUCCAUCCACGUUGCUGCAGAUGGCAGCAUUUCAUUCUUUUUUUAUGGCUGAGUGAGUGACAUUCCACACAUACACAUAUACCACGUCUUAAUCUGGUAGUCUGUUGAUUGGGCACUUGGGUUGCUUCUGGGUCCUGGCUGUUGCAAAUAGUGCUUCUAUAAAACCUGGGGGCAUGUAUCUUUGCAAAUUGGUGUUUUUGUUUUUUCUGGCUAUAUACUCGAGCAGAAUUGCUCUUGGUCAUAUGGUAGUUCUAUUUUUAGUUUUUUUAAGGAACUUCCAUACUUAGUUUCCAUAGUGGCUGUAACUCCCUUUUGUCUACAUUCUCUCCAGCAUUUGUUAUUUGCAGAUUUUUUGAUGAUAGCCAUUCUGAUGGGUGUGAAUUGAUACCUCAUUGUGGUUUUGAUUUACACUUCUCUAUAUACAGUGAUGUUGAACACUUUUUCACGUGCCUGUUAGCCAUCUGUUUGUCUUUGGGAAAAUGUCUAUUUAGGUUUUCUGCUCAUUUUUUGACUGGGUUGUUUUGCCUUUUAUAUAUACAUAUAUAUUGAGUUGUAUGGGCUGUUUGCAUAUUUUUUAUAUGAACCCAUUUGCGAAUAUUUCCUUCCGUUCUGUAGGUUGUCAUUUUGUUUUGUUGAUGGU